CCUCUGCCAGGUCUGACCCAGUAAGAGCAUCCUUCCCAGCUACCGAAGAGAUGCUCUGAGACUUCACCUCCAGGACCUUGAAUGAAAUAAAUCUCUCCUCUCUAUGCCUUACCCGAGCAUUUCACCAAAGAAAGUGCUAAGGAUCUUCUUAAACGGAAGGAUGGAGCCACUGAUUAAAAACUCAGAAUGCUGCGAUUAAAAU
rnacentral:lncRNA from 1 species